UUCGAAAAAAAGUAACCGUUGCGAAUUAUAAAGCUGCAAUAAACACUCUCUCCCCUCCUUUUCUGUCUGUCCAACUCCCACUCUUUCUCUUCUUCUCUUCCGGUUUCUCUUCGUUUCGUCUUCGUCUUCAACCUUUCUCAAAUCAAAAUUAUCAGAUCCGUUCGGGUUGGAAAAAGAGCAAAGAUAUGAUUGAUAGUAUUGAAGUUUGCAUCUUAUGGAGGUGGACCAAUAUUGUUGGGUAGCUUCUAAGCGUGCUAAGAAUCUUCUUCACAAUUUUUGGGCAUCAUCUUUAAACUAUGGUUAACAAUCUUUGGGUGUGCGUGUGUGGCAAGUCUGAAGGAAAGAGUAGAGUCGGUCCUUUGCUUUGGUUAUGAAUGUUAAUAGAAAAAGCUUCUUCAGUUACUUGUACAAGGAGGGGAGGGAUUUGUGAUUUGCUGUGCAAAUUAACGUAAAUUCUUUGACUGUAAUGUUUUUGGAUCUGGUUGUAUAGCAUGUAUAAGGAUGAAGUGAAUGUAAAAAUGGAUACUAUUUUUGUUUAAGAGAAGAGACCACUGGGGGUUUGCCACAGGGCUCUUUCUCCUGUGUGUGUUGUGUGUGUGUGGUGGGUUGCUUUCUUUCUCUCAUUUCUUUUCCUCUCAACACUGCCUCUUCAAUCUUUCUUUUACUUUCCCAUCUCCACAAUUCCUAUCUAUUUUUUCUUUCUGCUUUACUUUCUC